GACGAACCUUUGCGGCGUGCUUAACACAUGCAAGUCGAACGGAAAGGCCCUGCUUUUGUGGGGUGCUCGAGUGGCGAACGGGUGAGUAACACGUGAGUAACCUGCCCUUGACUUUGGGAUAACUUCAGGAAACUGGGGCUAAUACCGGAUAGGAGCUCCUGCUGCAUGGUGGGGGUUGGAAAGUUUCGGCGGUUGGGGAUGGACUCGCGGCUUAUCAGCUUGUUGGUGGGGUAGUGGCUUACCAAGGCUUUGACCGGUAGCCGGCCUGAGAGGGUGACCGGCCACAUUGGGACUGAGAUACGGCCCAGACUCCUACGGGAGGCAGCAGUGGGGAAUAUUGCACAAUGGGCGGAAGCCUGAUGCAGCAACGCCGCGUGCGGGAUGACGGCCUUCGGGUUGUAAACCGCUUUCGCCUGUGACGAAGCGUGAGUGACGGUAAUGGGUAAAGAAGCACCGGCUAACUACGUGCCAGCAGCCGCGGUGAUACGUAGGGUGCGAGCGUUGUCCGGAUUUAUUGGGCGUAAAGGGCUCGUAGGUGGUUGAUCGCGUCGGAAGUGUAAUCUUGGGGCUUAACCCUGAGCGUGCUUUCGAUACGGGUUGACUUGAGGAAGGUAGGGGAGAAUGGAAUUCCUGGUGGAGCGGUGGAAUGCGCAGAUAUCAGGAGGAACACCAGUGGCGAAGGCGGUUCUCUGGGCCUUUCCUGACGCUGAGGAGCGAAAGCGUGGGGAGCGAACAGGCUUAGAUACCCUGGUAGUCCACGCUGUAAACGGUGGGUACUAGGUGUGGGGUCCAUUCCACGGGUUCCGUGCCGUAGCUAACGCUUUAAGUACCCCGCCUGGGGAGUACGGCCGCAAGGCUAAAACUCAAAGGAAUUGACGGGGCCCCGCACAAGCGGCGGAGCAUGCGGAUUAAUUCGAUGCAACGCGUAGAACCUUACCUGGGUUUGACAUGGAUCGGGAGUGCUCAGAGAUGGGUGUGCCUCUUUUGGGGUCGGUUCACAGGUGGUGCAUGCCUGUCGUCAGCUCGUGUCGUGAGAUGUUGGGUUAAGUCCCGCAACGAGCGCAACCCUUGUUCACUGUUGCCAGCACGUUAUGGUGGGGACUCAGUGGAGACCGCCGGGGUCAACUCGGAGGAAGGUGGGGAUGACGUCAAGUCAUCAUGCCCCUUAUGUCCAGGGCUUCACGCAUGCUACAAUGGCUGGUACAGAGAGUGGCGAGCCUGUGAGGGUGAGCGAAUCUCGGAAAGCCGGUCUCAGUUCGGAUUGGGGUCUGCAACUCGACCUCAUGAAGUCGGAGCCGCUAGUAAUCGCAGAUCAGCAACGCUGCGGUGAAUACGUUCCCGGGGCU
rnacentral:rRNA from 1 species